GACUACAGGGGUAUCUAAUCCUGUUUGCUCCCCACGCUUUCGCGUCUCAGCGUCAGUUACCGUCCAGAUGGGCGCCUUCGCCACUGAUAUUCCUCCCGAUCUCUACGAAUUUCACCUCUACACCGGGAAUUCCCCCAUCCUCUCCAGUACUCAAGUCCCACAGUUUCCAAUGCACUUCCCGGGUUAAGCCCGGGGCUUUCACAUCAGACUUGCAGGACCGCCUACACGCGCUUUACGCCCAGUAAUUCCGAAUAACGCUUGCACCCUCCGUAUUACCGCGGCUGCUGGCACGGAGUUAGCCGGUGCUUCCUCUGGUGGUACCGUCACUCCCGAAACCUGUUCAAUUCCGGGACAUUCUUCCCACCUGACAGGGCUUUACGACCCGAAGGCCUUCAUCACCCACGCGGCGUUGCUGCGUCAGGAUUGCCCCCAUUGCGCAAAAUUCCUCACUGCAGCCGCCCGUAGG
rnacentral:rRNA from 1 species